rnacentral:lncRNA from 1 species
CACCGACCCGUCUCGGGGUGUUUUUUCCUGCUAGCCUGAAAGGUUUGGGCCCAGAAUCGCCCCCCGAGAUGGAUGGGGUCAACAGCUUUGUUUGCAACAGCUUCCAAUCUGUGGAUGUCCCUCCUGACCAGCCAGCUUGCAAGAUUACUAUGUGACAGCAAUGACCCUGUGUGAAGUUUCUUUGAAGGACCUGGGAGUCUGUGUGGUUUUCUCAUGUCCCUUGGAGGUGCUUCCCUGGGAGGGAGGGAGG